GACGGGGAGCACCACAACGGGUGGAGCUUGCGGUUUUAAUUGGAUUCAACGCCGGAAAUCUUACCGGGACCGACAGCAAUAUGAAGGCCAGGCUGAAGACUUUGCCGGAUUAGCUGAGAGGUGGUGCAUGGCCGUCGUCAGUUCGUACUGUGAAGCAUCCUGUUAAGUCAGGCAACGAGCGAGACCCACGCCCACAGUUGCCAGCGUACUCUCUGGAGUGACGGGUACACUGUGGGGACCGCCGCUGCUAAAGCGGAGGAAGGAAUGGGCAACGGUAGGUCAGUAUGCCCCGAAUAUCCCGGGCUACACGCGAGCUACAAUGGUUGGUACAAUGGGUAUCUACCCCGAAAGGGGACGGGAAUCUCCUAAAACCAAUCUUAGUUCGGAUUGAGGGCUGCAACUCGCCCUCAUGAAGCUGGAAUCCGUAGUAAUCGCGUUUCAACAGAACGCGGUGAAUACGUCCCUGCUCCUU
rnacentral:rRNA from 1 species